AUUGAACGCUGGCGGCAUGCCUUACACAUGCAAGUCGAACGGUAACGCGGGGCAACCUGGCGACGAGUGGCGAACGGGUGAGUAAUGUAUCGGAACGUGCCCAGUUGUGGGGGAUAACUGCUCGAAAGAGCAGCUAAUACCGCAUACGACCUGAGGGAGAAAGCGGGGGAUCGCAAGACCUCGCGCAAUUGGAGCGGCCGAUAGCAUAUCAGGUAGUUGGUGGGGUAAAGGCCCACCAAGCCAACGAUCUGUAGCUGGUCUGAGAGGACGACCAGCCAAACUGGGACUGAGACACGGCCCAGACUCCUACGGGAGGCAGCAGUGGGGAAUUUUGGACAAUGGACGCAAGUCUGAUCCAGCCAUGCCGCGUGCGGGAAGAAGGCCUUCGGGUUGUAAACCGCUUUUGUCAGGGAAGAAACGCUCUGGGUUAAUACCUCGGGGUAAUGACGGUACCUGAAGAAUAAGCACCGGCUAACUACGUGCCAGCCGCCGCGGUAAAAC
rnacentral:rRNA from 1 species